AUUGAACGCUGGCGGCAGGCCUAACACAUGCAAGUCGAGCGGAUGAAGGGAGCUUGCUCCUGGAUUCAGCGGCGGACGGGUGAGUAAUGCCUAGGAAUCUGCCUGGUAGUGGGGGAUAACGUCUGGAAACGGGCGCUAAUACCGCAUACGUCCUGAGGGAGAAAGUGGGGGAUCUUCGGACCUCACGCUAUCAGAUGAGCCUAGGUCGGAUUAGCUAGUUGGUGGGGUAAAGGCCUACCAAGGCGACGAUCCGUAACUGGUCUGAGAGGAUGAUCAGUCACACUGGAACUGGGACACGGUCCAGACUCCUACGGGAGGCCGCAGUGGGGAAUAUUAGACAAUGGGCGAAAACCUGAUCCAGCCAUGCCGCGUGUGUGAAGAAGGUCUUCGGAUUGUAAAGCACUUUAAGUUGGGAGGAAGGGCAGUAAGUUAAUACCUUGCUGUUUUGACGGUACCAACAGAAUAAGCACCGGCUAACUUCGUG
rnacentral:rRNA from 1 species